CUUUCGGCCGGGAAGAAAUCGCAUGGGUGAAUACCCUGUGUGGAUGACGGUACCGGAACAAGAAGCACCGGCUAACUACGUGCCAGCAGCCGCGGUAAUACGUAGGGUGCGAGCGUUAAUCGGAAUUACUGGGCGUAAAGCGUGCGCAGGCGGUUUGGUAAGACAGGCGUGAAAUCCCCGGGCUUAACCUGGGAACUGCGCUUGUGACUGCCAGGCUAGAGUACGGCAGAGGGGGGUGGAAUUCCACGUGUAGCAGUGAAAUGCGUAGAGAUGUGGAGGAACACCAAUGGCGAAGGCAGCCCCCUGGGUCGAUACUGACGCUCAUGCACGAAAGCGUGGGUAGCAAACAGGAUUAGAUACCCUGGUAGUCCACGCCCUAAACGAUGUCAACUAGGUGUUGGGUGGGUAAAACCAUUUAGUACCGUAGCUAACGCGUGAAGUUGACCGCCUGGGGAGUACGGCCGCAAGGUUAAAACUCAAAGGAAUUGAC
rnacentral:rRNA from 1 species